CAGAGUGCCUCACCCAGCCAGGGCAGGACAAAGGGAUAGCACAGUGGAGGUGGCUUUAAAUCAGGACCUGAAGAAGAGAAAUGAAAGACUGGGGAGUACUGCAGAGAAAACAGAACAUUGUUUUCUUUGAGACUUCAUUAUCAUCAAGACAUCAAGGAAAGCACCUGCAGUCCCUAAGCAGCCUUCACCUAGCCAAGGACACCCCACCCCCACCAGGGGAAGGAAGGCUGACUGACUGCUGCCCCUCAUCAUUGCUGCCUGCAUUGUGGGAGAACACAGGCUGGAUGAGUGGACCCUUUGAAGACACCACACUAUGCAAACCCUACCUGUGCAGACCAACAGCAGCAUGGGACUGCUUCUAAAUGCAGGGUCACACCCCACUGAAACCUGCAUUUCAAUGAGAUCCAAAUUGCGUGUGCUCCUUGGGGUUUGAAAGCUGUGGGCUAGAGCAUGUGUAUGCCCCCACUCCAACUGGAGGAAAAACCAAAUUCCCUACAGCUCUCAAUCAUAAGCCUGACCCCAUCGCAGUAAACAAUGCUGAUGGUCAGUGAAGUGUUUGUAUUUACUGCUCCCAGCAGCCCUCAGAGUUGACAAUGUUAUUAUGUUCCCUUGGUUAAGGUGGAGAUGCCAGGCUGCCAGAGAUUAAGGGAAAUGCCACUGUUUUCCUCAGCAUGUAAGAAGCAAAGCUGAUCAGCCUGAUUCCCGUAGAUGCUGUGGAUUCCCUGGAAGCACACAGGAGGUGAGCUGCUCCCAGUGCACAAGAGGAGGCUUCCAGACCGCCAUACCACCCCCGUCAUUACACAAGAGGCCUUCUUUCUGACCCACUGAGACUCUGGCUGUUCAAGUUUUCUCUGCACCUGAGCAGAUGUUUCAGGAAGAUUCACAGUGAGCAGAAAGGGCACUGAGUGGG
ensembl:lncRNA